UACGUAGGGUGCGGGCGUUGUCCGGAAUUAUUGGGCGUAAAGGGCUCGUAGGCGGUUUGUCGCGUCGGGCGUGAAAUCCACUGGCUUAACUGGUGGCUUGCUUUCGAUACGGGCAGACUGGAGGUAUGCAGGGGAGAACGGAAUUCCUGGUGUAGCGGUGAAAUGCGCAGAUAUCAAGAGGAACACCUGCGGCGAAGGCGGGUUGCUGGGCCGACACUGACGCUGAGGCGCGAAAGCUAGGGGAGCGAACGGG
rnacentral:rRNA from 1 species